CAAUAGCGUAUAUUAAAGCUGUUGCGGUUAAAAAGCUCGUAGUUGGAUUUCUGUCAAGUACAACUGGUCCGCCCUCCGGGUGAGCACAUAGUUUGGUCUUGGCAUCUUGCUGGGAAUUGUUGCUGCACUUGGCUGUGUGGCGCAGUGCCCAGCACUUUCACUUUGAGGAAAUUGGAGUGUUUCAAGCAGGCAAUGCCUUUGAACACAGUAGCAUGGAAUAAUUAGAUUGGGCUUUUGCUCCAAUUUGUCGGUUUCUGGAGCUGAGGUGAGAAUUAAUGGGGAUUGUUGGGGGCAUCCGAAUUUAGCCGUCAGAGGUGAAAUUCUUGGAUCUGCUAAAGACGGACAACUGCGAAAGCGUUUGCCCAGGAUGUUUUCAUUG
rnacentral:rRNA from 1 species